GUGCCAGCAGCCGCGGUAAUACGGAGGGAGCUAGCGUUGUUCGGAAUUACUGGGCGUAAAGAGUACGUAGGCGGUGAUUCAAGUCAGAGGUGAAAGCCUGGAGCUCAACUCCAGAACUGCCUUUGAAACUAGAUCGCUAGAAUCAUGGAGAGGUUAGUGGAAUUCCGAGUGUAGAGGUGAAAUUCGUAGAUAUUCGGAAGAACACCAGUGGCGAAGGCGACUAACUGGACAUGUAUUGACGCUGAGGUACGAAAGCGUGGGGAGCAAACAGGAUUAGAUACCCUGGUAGUCCACGCCGUAAACGAUGAUAACUAGCUGUUCGGGGUCUACGAUCCUGAGUGGCGCAGCUAACGCAUUAAGUUAUCCGCCUGGGGAGUACGGUCGCAAGAUUAAA
rnacentral:rRNA from 1 species